GGGGCCUUAGUUCAGUAGGGAGAACGCCUGCUUUGCAAGCAGGAGGUCAGCGGUUCGAUCCCGCUAGGCUCCA
rnacentral:tRNA from 1 species